rnacentral:rRNA from 1 species
UACGUAGGGUCCGAGCGUUGUCCGGAAUUAUUGGGCGUAAAGGGCGCGUAGGCGGCCGAAUAAGUCUGACGUGAAAUCCCACGGCCCAACCGUGGAACUGCGUUUGAUACUGUUCGGCUCGAGUCCGGGAGAGGGUAGCGGAAUUCCCAGUGUAGCGGUGAAAUGCGUAGAUAUUGGGAGGAACACCGGUGGCGAAGGCGGCUACCUGGACCGGUACUGACGCUGAGACGCGAAAGCGUGGGGAGCGAACAGG